UCAGGACGUGGAGAAUGGCCCCGUGGAGGUUUAUCCAAUUGAUGUGAGAAAUACAGUAUCAAAAUGUCUGUGUUCAUAACCAGCACUUUCAGCCAGAGGAUUUCGGAACGGAACUGAAGUCUCAACUGAUGGGGUUGCCAUGUCGCCGAAAGUUGAAAAGUGAUGCUAUUCCAUAGAUGUUCCCCUUCACUUCAAAGAGGAAGGCAUCCGAUCAGCCAACAUCAGCGCAGCAGAAAAGAGGACAAGCUGAGAGUUCGAUCCCAUCUGCAGAGGCAUCAACAUCAAGCUCAGCACCAGGAACUAGCGAGAUUUGCAAUACAAACAAAUCUUCUGCAAGAGGUUGAAGCAGUGGGUGGUGAAGAAAGUGUACGAGAGACUUGCCCACCUGGCUGUGGAGUGCAGAAAGGACCAGAUGGCUGUCUACAAGGAGCCAGAGUCACAACUCCCCAAAUCCAACAUCCAUGCCAACAUCGUCACAGUGCCAAAGCCUGAUAAACCAGCUGGCAUUGCCCAACACAAGAAGAGGUUCAGAAGCUGAAGAACAUUCUGGAACCAACACAACAUCCAUAUUCAGUUAGACUGAUGUUGUAGUAAAAUAUAGAAUGCCUAGUAUGCUCAAAACUGCAUUGUGGUAUAGAUAUUGCUAGCUGUUGUACAUAUGUAUAUAAUAUAGUUCUAUAUUUUUAAAAAUGACAAGUGUACUGACAAGUGACUAAAUGAUUCCAGCUGCAUCAGAAAACAAUAACAUGUUGACUUCUUGGUCAAUUCAUUGAGAUAUUCAUGAAAUGUAUUUGGAUAAACUAGCUUCAGUCUUACUGCUAAAACAAAUGAUACUGGGAGUUGGUUUAUCAUUUAAACUUUAAUUUGUUGGCAAGUAAACAUGUAUUAAUAAAACAGUAGAUUAGUCUGUCAAUAUAGCAAAUAAGUAGACAUGGCUUGCAUUCAAUACAUAUUUUAUUUGCUCUGGAAACCGGGGUGAGUUUACACCGCAGUAUCCAGGAACAGUUAUGGCAAUGUAUGACAUAUACAGUAGAAUAAAAAUAUACUACUAACGCCUAUAAUAAAUACUACAGUUCUACAAAGGGAAUACUUGCAUAUGGUGUGUUUGGGUGGUGCAGUGAGGUGUUCGGAAUCACUGAUACAAGGGGAGAUUGUUGU